CAGUACUUGUUCGCCAGCACCAAGCACGCGUCCGCUUCGUGUACCUAAAACCGAUCGCCAGUCUUUGUUCCAUUUGUCGCGCACGACAAUUAAUUAACGGAGUGUCAAAAAUGUAGUCUGGGUCGGGACGGGAGUCAGAAAGCAGCGAACCGAAAUCAUUGUUCUCGGGCAAAUCUCGGAAAACAAAGUGGCGGAAAAAUCGUUUUGGAACUGCGAAAGGCACACUGUUGUCCGCGGAUAUCCGAAGGCAUAGCAAUUUAAGACGCGCUACUACGUUGGCAGUUCUGACAAUCUUUUGCAAACAAACACUUAUGUGGAAACUAAUGAAUUUUUCUCGAAGCAACUAUUUGUCGCAGUUUGUUGCAGCUUUUUUACCACAACCGGAAGGGUUAGUGAGGUAAAAUUUGUAGCUGCAGCCAGAACCUUCUCGAUUCGAGUAGAAAUAGUAUCGUCUCAUUUCAGCAAGUAGUUUUUGGGAAAAUAAUUCGUAAGUAUCGCUUCGUUCGUAGAAAUGUUCGUGAUAUUAAAGAAAAGUUGACGAAUUUCGGAGUCUGUGUUUCGUAAACAAAUUCAAAUUCGACAAAGCGAUGACUUAAACUGCCCCUAAUUUUGCGAACACUCUGCUACGAAGUGUUCGAUUUCGACCAGGGUCUCGGACAUCGAUCGCAAACAUCGGUGGUUCAAUGAUCCUGGAUACGUUCGGACGACAGUGCGCAUUUCAAAUUUGGAAUUGUGGCGAGACUUUCGAAGCUUCGUCUGCCCUAAACGGCGUCACGUUACGGCGGGAUACUCGACUCUAAACGAAAUAACGGAGCAGUAACAAUGACGUUUGAAUAUGUAAUGGCGCGAAGUAUGAAAAACUCCACUGAGAACGAAUAUAUUCUGAGGAAUGCGAGCUAUGUGUCAAGAAUUCGUUAAAAAGCGUUGUUACUAGGCGAAUCUCUAGUAGGCUUUGCGGGUAUGCAGAAACAAAAUGGCGAUGCGUGUCGCCUGAUCAUGCCUUCAGGAAUACAAUUUCCGAAUCGGAGCUCUUUGUUCUACUUGAAAUUUUCAACCGGAAGCUAACGCAAUUCAAGUUUCAUCGAUCAUUCAUCGUUGGUGAAUCAUUUAACGUUUCUUUUCUCCACGCUUUCCGCGACACACGCCGCCAGAAAAUCUUUCCCAACAACAACAACAAAGUGUAAAAAGCGAGAUCUAAUUGCAUUCCUUAGGUAGACAAACGUCGUCUAGACGCGGAACCGGCAAAACUCGAAGCUCUGCCAACAUGCCCAUCAACUGUCCUCUAAUCAGACCUACGUUUGAUCAAUGCGAAAGAGUAUGUUCUACGUAAACAGCCAAGACAACGUACCGUUUAUAUACGUUUCAACGCAGGUUUCGCGGGAUGUCUAGAACAAUUAACGGUUUCAAGCGAUUCCACGUGUAAAAAAUUAGUCGAAAUAGAGGAGUCCGGAGACU